rnacentral:rRNA from 1 species
UACAGAGGAUGCAAGCGUUAUCCGGAAUGAUUGGGCGUAAAGCGUCUGUAGGUGGCUUUUUAAGUCCGCCGUCAAAUCCCAGGGCUCAACUCUGGACAGGCGGUGGAAACUACCAAGCUGGAGUACGGUAGGGGCAGAGGGAAUUUCCGGUGGAGCGGUGAAAUGCGUAGAGAUCGGAAAGAACACCAGUGGCGAAGGCAGCUCGCUGGGACGGUACUGACGCUGAGACGCGAAAGCGUGGGGAGCAAACAGG